UACAGAGGGGGCAAGCGUUGUUCGGAAUUACUGGGCGUAAAGGGCGCGUAGGCGGCCUGUUAAGUCGAACGUGAAAUCCCCGGGCUCAACCCGGGAACUGCGUCCGAUACUGGUAGGCUUGAAUCCGGGAGAGGGAUGCGGAAUUCCAGGUGUAGCGGUGAAAUGCGUAGAUAUCUGGAGGAACACCGGUGGCGAAGGCGGCAUCCUGGACCGGUAUUGACGCUGAGGCGCGAAAGCCAGGGGAGCAAACGGG
rnacentral:rRNA from 1 species